UGAGGUUCAGAACACAGGGCUCACC
rnacentral:piRNA from 1 species